rnacentral:lncRNA from 1 species
UCACCUGGCGCUGGUGAUUUAGGACUGGGGGCUGUAGCCACAGCCCGUCCCUAGCAGCAGCGGCGUCGGAGUGAACGCGUACACGUGACUCCGGCUUUGGCUCCUCAGUGCCUCUACAAACAGAGGCGCGCACACACAUUCCUUCUCUUCUCCAUCCAGUCUCUUCCCCUCCUUCCCUGUCACACACACGCCGUGCGAGCCGCCGCCAGGGCAAAGCUCUAGGCACACGCCGGGGUGGCAGCGCCAGGAGCAGCAGCGGUUCAACCAAGAAGCAAGAGUUUGCAAAGGCUGCUGUGCCCGGCUGAAGAGGCUUUGCACCCGGAGGAUGGCUGGCUGCGGGCUGUCAGAAGAUGCCUUCUUCUCUUCCUUCUUCUACAACUACACCUCCUCCUGGGAGAGCUCCUACAACCAGAUUUGUGUAUGCAGAUCUGGCUGUGGCCUGUUCUUCUGGCUGGAGUUUAACCCUUGCCUGAGCUCAUGUGUUGCUGUAGUCUCCCAUGUGCCUCUUCAUGCUUGCACAAUCCAGGAUGGGUUUCCUAGUAAUUUUCUUUACCAGUUUAAACAUAAACCAGAAAAAUAGCUGACAUUUUAUCAGAAAUAGGCCAUCAUUGGCUGAAAUGGCAAGAUCUAAGCAAGUUAUCCAUUAUAUAAUAUACUGGAUCAAAAGGAAAUACAACAUAUUAUAUUUUUCCUAUUUUGUUUGUGAUUAUUGCAGUAAUAAAUUGCAAUUAGUCUUACA